ACUCCUACGGGAGGCAGCAGUGAGGAAUAUUGGUCAAUGGAGGGAACUCUGAACCAGCCAUCCCGCGUGUAGGAAGACGGCCUUAUGGGUUGUAAACUACUUUUAUACAGGAAGAAACGUACCCUCGUGAGGGUGCCUGACGGUACUGUAGGAAUAAGCACCGGCUAACUCCGUGCCAGCAGCCGCGGUAAUACGGAGGGGUGCGAGCGUUAUCCGGAUUUAUUGGGGUUUAAAGGGGUCCGUAGGCGGAUUAAUAAGUCAGUGGUGAAAUCCCAUCGCUUAACGAUGGAACUGCCAUUGAUACUGUUAGUCUUGAAUGAGGGUGCAGUGGUUGGAAUGUGUAGUGUAGCGGUGAAAUGCAUAGAUAUUACACAGAACACCGAUUGCGAAGGCAGAUCACUAACCCUAAAUUGACGCUGAGGGACGAAAGCGUGGGGAGCGAACAGGAUUAGAUACCCUGGUAGCGACUGA
rnacentral:rRNA from 1 species